UUCGGUUUUGAUUCUAUAAAACAAUUAUUUGAUCCAUAUUUGAUAUGUUAAAAGAACCCCAUCAAGUGGUAUUAGAGCCAUCCUACAAUGAUUGAUGAACAUUUAAGCUUAUUUUCUCAUAUAUUUUAAUGAUGUUUUCAUCAAUAUUUUGAAGUGAUUUGGUUCUAUUAUCGUUGAAAAAGAUGAUAGUUUUAUGUAAUCAUGCUAUUUUGAAGUGAUUUGGUUCUAUCGUUGGAAAAUAUUAUGGUUUUAUGUAAUCAUGCUACAGCAUGCUUCACAUUCAAUUCAAUGCCUUUUUCUGAUAUGAUAUCAGUUUAAUUUUGGAUUAUCUUUUCCACUUCGUGUCUUUUCCUAUUCAUCAAUAUGCAAAAAAAUUUAUUUUUGCACUAUAAGGCAUAAAUUUUCCAAAUUCUUUUUGGAUUUUAUCUAAUUAAUAUGAAUUUAAUUAAUUAGAUAUUGUUGCAAUAUUAUG
rnacentral:lncRNA from 1 species